rnacentral:rRNA from 1 species
GGAAUAGCCCAAACCAAUAAAGUUUUCUUUAUUGGGGUUGCGGACAUAUCUUAAACGAAGAGGUAUCGUAAUUGAAGAGGUUUGGAAAGACCCACCAUAGAAGGUAAUAGUCCUGUAUGUCAAACGAAAAAACUUCAGAUAUGAUCCAGAGUACCACGGGACACGUGAAACCCUGUGGGAAGCAGGAGGGACCACCCUCCAAGGCUAAAUACUACCUAGUGACCG